UACGUAGGGGGCAAGCGUUGUCCGGAAUCAUUGGGCGUAAAGAGCGUGUAGGCGGCCCGGUAAGUCCGCUGUGAAAGUCCAGGGCUCAACCCUGGAAUGCCGGUGGAAACUGUCGGGCUAGAGUCCGGAAGAGGCGAGUGGAAUUCCUGUUGUAGCGGCGAAAUGCGCAGAUAUCAGGAGGAACACCAAUGGCGAAGGCAGCUCGCUGGGACGGUACUGACGCUGAGACGCGAAAGCGUGGGGAGCAAACAGG
rnacentral:rRNA from 1 species